rnacentral:rRNA from 1 species
GNUGGCGAGUGGCGAACGGGUGAGUAAUUCAUCGGAACGUGUCCUGUAGUGGGGGAUAGCCCGGCGAAAGCCGGAUUAAUACCGCAUACGCUCUACGGAGGAAAGGGGGGGAUCUUAGGACCUCCCGCUACAGGGGCGGCCGAUGGCAGAUUAGCUAGUUGGGGGGGUAAAGGCCUACCAAGGCGACGAUCUGNCCUGGNCNGACUCUNNACCAGCCACACUGGGACUGAGACACGGCCCAGACUCNUACGGGAGGCAGCAGUGGGGAAUUUUGGACAAUGGGCGAAAGCCUGAUCCAGCAAUGCNNNNNNNGUGAAGAAGGCCUUCGGGUUGUAAAGCACUUUUGUCCGGAAAGAAAACCUCCGCCCUAAUAUGGUGGGGGGAUGACGGUACCGGAAGAAUAAGCACCGGCUAACUACGUGCCAGCAGCCGCGGUAAUACGUAGGGUGCAAGCGUUAAUCGGAAUUACUGGGCGUAAAGCGUGCGCAGGCGGUCCGCUAAGACAGAUGUGAAAUCCCCGGGCUUAACCUGGGAACUGCAUUUGUGACUGGCGGGCUAGAGUAUGGCAGAGGGGGGUAGAAUUCCACGUGUAGCAGUGAAAUGCGUAGAGAUGUGGAGGAAUACCGAUGGCGAAGGCAGCCCCCUGGGCCAAUACUGACGCUCAUGCACGAAAGCGUGGGGAGCAAACAGGAUUAGAUACCCUGGUAGUCCACGCCCUAAACGAUGUCAACUAGUUGUUGGGGAUUCAUUUCCUNAGUAACGUAGCUAACGCGUGAAGUUGACCGCCUGGGGAGUACGGUCGCNAGAUUAAAACUCAAAGGAAUUGACGGGGACCCGCANNAGCGNNNGAUGAUGUGGNUUAAUUCGAUGCAACGCGAAAAACCUUACCUACCCUUGACAUGNAUGGNACCCUGCUGAGAGNUGGGGNUGCCCGAAGGNAGCCAUAACACAGGUGCUGCNUGGCUGNCGNCNGCUNNUGUCGUGGNNANNNUGGGUUAAGUCCCGCANNAGCNNCAANCCNUNNUCCCUAGUUG